rnacentral:rRNA from 1 species
AGGAUAAACGCUGGCGGCGUGCUUAAUACAUGCAAGUCGAGCGGCAGCAUGCACUUCGGUGUGAUGGCGAGCGGCGGACGGCUGAGUAACGCGUAGGAAUAUACCCCAAAGUGAGGGAUAACUGCCCGAAAGGGUAGCUAAUACCGCAUGUGGUCUUCGGAUUAAAGCUUUAUGCGCUUUGGGAAUGGCCUGCGUACGAUUAGCUUGUUGGUGAGGUAAUAGCUCACCAAGGCGAUGAUCGUUAGCUGGUCUGAGAGGAUGAUCAGCCAGACUGGGACUGAGACACGGCCCAGACUCCUACGGGAGGCAGCAGUAGGGAAUUUUCCACAAUGGACGAAAGUCUGAUGGAGCAACGCCGCGUGCAGGAUGAAGGCCUUUGGGUUGUAAACUGCUUUUCUUUGUGAGGAAUAUGACAGUAGCAGAGGAAUAAGGAUCGGCUAACUCCGUGCCAGCAGCCGCGGUAA